UACGUAGGGUGCGAGCGUUGUCCGGAAUUACUGGGCGUAAAGCGCACGUAGGCGGCUUGGUAUGUCGGGUGUGAAAUCCCCGGGCUCAACCUGGGAACUGCAUCCGAAACUGCCUUGCUCGAGUAUGGGAGAGGGAAGUGGAAUUUCCGGUGUAGCGGUGAAAUGCGUAGAUAUCGGAAGGAACAUCAGUGGCGAAGGCGACUUCCUGGACCAAUACUGACGCUCAGGUGCGAAAGCGUGGGGAGCAAACAGG
rnacentral:rRNA from 1 species